GCAACAAAUAUCGCUGUAUUAGCCCUUCGGUGCCAGGACUAUCACAACUUCCCUGGAGUCUUUGAAAGGAAUGAUGCAGUUGCUUUUGGUGUGGCUGCUGCUCCGGCUGCUGCUCCUCUGGAAGCAGAAAAUGUUGGCGUCAAGCACUCUUUUGAUGUGACCGUCAGGACUUUCUUUCCAGAAACCUGGAUCUGGCAGCUUGCUCAAGUGGAUGGCACUGGAUCCACCAGAGUUCCUCUGAAGGUUCCUGACACCAUCACCACAUGGGAGACUGAGGCGUUCUGC